rnacentral:lncRNA from 1 species
CCUUGAUGUUGCUCAGAGACAGCAGCUGCAACUAUACCUCCCACCCCAAUCCAAGAACUUCCCACAUUAGCUCUUUCUUCUUGCUAAUUCAAUCUGGCAUCCUUUAUUUCUACUCUGAAGAAUUCAAGAGGGGGCACAAAAUUUUCCUGAAGUUGUGUUUUAUUUCCCAAAAUUCAUGUGACAUUUGCAUUCAACCGUGUAAAAGCCCCAUGCUUGUUUCAAUAUAAAAAUGUUACCCUCAAUAAUAGUGGGAGACUUUAACACCUCACUGUCAAUAUUAGACAGAUCAUCAAGACAGAAAAUUAACAAAGAUAUUUAGAACUCAGCUCUGGAUCAAGUGGACCUGAUAGACAUCUACAGAACUCUCCACCCCAAAACAACAGAGUAGACAUUCUUCUCGGCACCACAUGGCACUUACUCUAAAAUUGAUCACAUAAUUGGAAGUAAAACACCCUCAGCAAAUGCAAAAGAACGGAAAACAUAACAAACAGUCUCUCAGACCACAGUGCAAUCAAAUUAGAACUCAGGAUUAAGAAACUCACUCAAAACCACACGACUACAUAGAAAUUGAACAACCUGCUCCUGAAUGACUCUUGGGUAAAGAAUGAAAUUAAGGCAGAAAUCAAGAAGUUCUUUGAAACCAAUCAGAACAAAGAGACAACAUACCAGAAUCUCUGGGACACAGCUAAAGCAGUGUUAAGAGGGAAAGUUAUAGCACUAAAUGACCUUAUCAGAAAGCUAGAAAGAUCUCAAAUUGACACCCUGACAUCACAACUAAAAUAACUAGAGAAUCAAGAGCAAACAAACUUCAAAAUUAGCAGAAGACAAGAAGAAACCAAGAUCAGAGCAGAACUGAAGGAGAUAGAGAUACGAAAAACUCUUCAAAAAAUCAAUGAAUCCAGGAGCUGAUUUUUUGAAAAAAUUAAUAAAAUAGAUAGACCACUACCUAGACUAAAAAAGAAGAAAAGAGAGAAGAACCCAAUAGACACAAUAAAAAAAUGAUAAAGGGGAUAUCACUACUGAGCCCACAGAAAUACAGACAACCAUCAGAGAAUAGUAUAAAAACCUCUGUGCAAAUAAACUAGAAAAUGUAGAAGAAAUGGAUAAAUUCCUGGACACAUACACCCUCCCAAGACUUAACCAGGAAGAAGGUGAAUCCCUGAAUAGAUCAGUAACAAGUUCUGAAAUUAAGGCAAUAAUAGCCUACCAACCAAAAAAAUCCCAGGACCAGAUGGAUUUACAGCUGAAUUCUACCAGAAGUACAAAGAGGAGUUGAUACCCUUUUUUUUUGAAACUAUUUCAAACAAUUGAAAAGCAGGGACUCCUCCCUGACUCAUUCUAUGAGGCCAGCAGCAUCCUGAUACCAAAACCUGGCAUAGAUACAACAAAAGAAGAAAACUUCAGGCCAAUAUUCCUCCCUCUGCUGGCCUUGCCUCCCCCACUAAGUUGGAAGCCACUCUGCUUCUUCCCGCGCAUCUUAGCCUCUGAGCCCCAGAACAGCCUGACUACUGCACAGCCAAAUGGACAGACAGACCGACUCGAGGGCUGGGGCCAGGACGUCCCUCUGAGGACACAUAAGGGCAGGUGGGCAGGCACUAUGGGGGAAGAGGAAGGGGCAGCAGGGAUGGGUGGGAGCUCAGGCAAGCUGGCAAAGCAUCCUCCCAGCUCUGCUCCCAGUUAUUCCUCUUCCCUCUCACUGUGCUGGCCCGCCGAGGCUUAUGAGACUAGGGGACAGGGAGGUUCCCUCCUCAGUGGCUCUGACCCAAAUGGCACUUCUGGAGGGCCCCGAAGCUUCCUUUGUGUGACUUCAGCUCCCUGUGCGUUUUGGGGGAGGCAGGUUGUGGUGGUGAUGCUCGCACAAGCCCCGCUAAGGACAAGUCACUUUGUGGAGAGUUGACACACAGCACCCUUCCACUAAAGCAGUAGCCCUCUGGGCUCUGCAGAGGCUGGGCCUCCCCAGUGUGGGGAAGCCUGCAUGGCAGGAUGUGGCUCCCAGCAUGAUGGAGGCCAGGUCUCAGGACACCGGCAGACCGCCCUGAGCUCCUGGGUGCUGCCCUGUGGCUGGAAGGCGCCUCCUCUGCACCCUCAGGCCUUGCCCUAGGUACCCCUCUGAGAAGCCUCCUGGGCUUCCACAGGCUGUACCCUCACCACCACCUCAUUGUCCCCUAGCGUGAUGUUCUACAUCCAGGGGUGCCCUGAGGGUGGGGACCACGCUUUGAGCUGCUGCCCAGUGUCAUUGGCUCAGGGCACAUGGACCAUGGACCCCGGGCCUGGUGCAAGAGCUGACAAGCCCACAUGCUGCAGGAGGCCGACAGCUGGCUGGUUCCUCGGGGUCUCACCUUCAGGAAAAUUUUGGUCUUCCCCACUUUCCAGUCUUUGUCUGUCCGCAGCCACACGUCAGUGAUGCCCAGGGUCAUCUGGCGGAACUUGCCUCGCAGCUGCCAAGACCAAACGGGGGUAUCGGUGGGAGGUGGGGCAGAGACCCCUCGGCGGCUCUCUGGGGGUGGUGUCUCCCUCCUCCGCCCACAGGCUCCCCCAUCAGGGGCUGCCCCCCACCCCCGCCCAGGCACAGGCACAACGGGAACCUCGAAUAGGGGUUGGGGUGAGGAGGGAACUCGGGGCCUGCGGCGAGGAGGGAACUCGGGGCCUGGGGCCUCCAUGUGUUGUGGGACUCGGCCCAGGCCAGGCCCAGCCUCAGGAUGGCUGAGGGUUCCAGACAGGACAGGAAGAACCUCGGGCCCCAGUAGCUUUCUAGCCACACCUCGGCUCCCUGACACGGUAGGAGAGAACGUGUCUGCUGUACAACUACAGACAUGUUCCAGAAGGAACCGCUGCGGCCGCCAGCUCUCCCAGACCCCAGGGAAAGCCCCCUCACUUCCGCGGCGCUGGGAGAGGGAGAGGACAGGGUGGGAGGAGGAGAGAGGGAGGAAGGACAGGGCUCAUCGCAAGGCUGGGGCCGGGGAGGGCAGCGGGAGACCCCCUCGGUACUGGGGGCUGGAGGUGCCCAAGGCCGAGGGGAAGGCCGCGGAUGGCCAGAGGUGCCCGUCCCCGAGGGGCGCUGACCUGCAUCCGCAUGGCGUUGGGCAGCAACACGCCGAACCUCUGCGAGAACUCCUCGAACGUGUAGCGGAUGGGGAAGCCCGACUUGCGGAUGUGCACGGUCUCCAUCAUGCCCGAGUAUCGCAGCUGCCGCAGGCACAGCUCCCGGUCGAACAGCUGUGGGCGGACACGGGGCGCUGACCCAGCGCAAGCCCCACUUUCCAGCCACCCCCCUUCCCGGCACCCCACCAUCGGGCAUGGGCCCACAGCCAGAGGUCAGUGUGUCCAGCCCCUCGCCCCGCCCACCCCCACUGUCCUCCAGAGAUGGAAGAACUAAACAAAUGCGACUUCAGUAAGGCUGCAUUUUGAAGAGAGUAGUGCAAGUAGUUGAAAAACCCGUAGUGUUGUCAAGGAGAUAAAAGUCGAUAGCAUGGAAACUGUGGCACCCACAGAAACACAGUACUCCCAUCACUGUCAACUACUCGAAGCGCUGUGAAUGUAAACGUCCUCUGCACAUGCCCAGUUUAAAAUGCUUUUUUAAAAAAAAUUUAUUUUAUUUUAUUUAUUUUUUUUUUGAGAUGGAGUCUCGUUCUGUCGCUCAGGCUGGAGUGCAGUGGCACGAUCUCGGCUCACUGCNNNNNNNCUGCCUCCUGGGUGCAAGCGAUUCUCCUGCCUCAGCCUCCCGAGUAGCUGGGAUUACAGGCGUGUAGCACCACGCCCGGGUAAGUUUUGUAUUUUUAGUUAAAGACGGAGUUUCACCAUGUUGGCCAGGCUGGUCUCCAACUCCUGAGCUCAACUGAUCCGCCCGCCUUGGCGUCCCAGAGUGCUGGGAUUACAGGCCUGAGCCACCGCGCCUGGCCCAGUUUAAAAUGUUUUUAAGCGCCCCUUGCCUACAUAGGUCGGGGUGGAAAGCUGCCCCGCAGGCACUUGCAGUUUCAUGGUGCCUCCCUCACAAUAGUUAAAUGAAAAAAUAAAUCUACUCAGAGGCGGAAAAUAUCCUAAUCAACUUAGUCUCUCCCUCCCUGGAGAUGGAGGUCAGAGUAAGACCUGGAGUGGCUGGGGUGGAGGAGUGGAGGGCCUUUGGCCCCAGGGAGCUGAGCCGUCUUUUGCUUAGAGGCGAGUGUGACUGGCAGAGAAAUGGCAUGAUGUCCUUCCCUGGGGUGUCAGGCUUCAGCAGGGGUUCCAAGACUCUGCCAUGGCUUGGAUUCUAGAGAGCCCCUCUCCACCUACAAGCCAGGAGUCUCUGAGGGACCCUGGGGAACGCCCUCUGAUGUGGCAAACCCACCAGCAGGCACUGUUACCCUACCUGCAGGGUCACAGCGCCAACUGCUGGUGGGGUCCAGGCCACACUGAGCUUAGCCUCGGGUAAGUGUUUAGCUGCGCUUCACUGACGAUUUCCUAUGGGCCUGGUGUUUCUCACUGAAUCUUUACAACAUUCCUACCUGGUGGGGGUGUUUGGCUCCAACUUACAGAUGAGAUGCCUGAGGCAUAGGGUUUUGCUUCUAAGGGGCUGAGCCUGGGUUUGAACCCUGAGCAGCCACCAAUGAGAGAUAUCCCAGCCAGAGGCACCCUCAACCCCCGAGCUUCAGCCUCAGGCCUGCCUGCCUGUCCUGCAACUCCCAGCUCCCAAGGUAGGCAGGGUCUGAACGAGCCAAGGGUCUCUGGGAGCCCAGCUACUUCUCCCAGCAGUUAAGGAACAAGAUAGGUUAUCUCACAUCUGCCUAUUUUGCCUUCAAGGAAGAUGCAACCUAGAUUUCAUAAGGCAAGCCCCAUUUUAUUUUUUUAGAGACAGGUCUUGCUCUGUCACCCAGGCUGAAGUGCAGUGGUGUGAUCAUAGUUCACUGCAGCCUCGACCUCCUGGGCUCAAGUGAUCCUCCUCCCUCAGCCUCCUGAGUAGCUGAGACUACAGGCACAUACCACCAUACCUAGCUAAUUUUUAUACUUUUAAAUUUUUUUGCAGAGAUAAGGUCUUGCUAUGUUGCCCAGGCUUGCCUCAAGCAAUCCUCCCGCCUCAGCCUCCCAAAGUGCUGGGAUUACAAGCGUGAGCUACUGCACCCAGAUCAAACUCAAUUUCACAUAGUUUUAUUCUUUCCAAAAAGCAUUUAAUUUCAUGUAAUAUUUUUAUUCCCUUAUGGGGAUAAAACCAUUUUAUAUUGUUUCAGCUGAUGUCUCCUAGUUUGGGGAAUCCCUGCAUAUGCGGCCUCUGGGUGGGACUCCCCACCCAAUGGAGCAGGGACUCCGUUGUGGGCAGGGAGUGUGGGCUCUCACCCCAUCACCAUCUCACAUCAGGUAAAGCUGACUCUCUGCAGGGCUUGGUGAAAGGAGUGGUGUCAGCCUCUAAAGUCCUAUUACUGAUUGCUGCCUUUGUUGAGUGUGGUUUACAUAUGGGACAUGUACUGCAAACCUCAUGUCCAACCCUCAGUGCAUUCCUGCAGGCAGGAGCAAGUCUGACUUUACAGAAGGGAAAACUGAGGCUCACAGCAGCAAAGAGCCAGGCCAAGAACACACAGAAGAUGCAUGGCGGAGCUAAGGGAACUGAGGUCUCAGCAGCAACCCAAAGCUCUGCAGGUCACUGACCUUCACAUGACCUAGUCUGGUCACCUUACCCCAGUGUACUUAUCUGUAAGGUAGGCGCAGUAACAGCUCUAACACUAGCCAGGCCCUGGCAGAGGGAGUGACCACAACCCUAGAGGCCAUCAGCCUCCUCCUCCUCCCUCCUUUGCUGUGCCCCAGCCUCCUGUCAUUACCAGCGGCUUCUUAUACUCAUUAGGUUUGAUGCAGCGGAUGAAGUAAGGCUGGCAGUUGGUCAGGAUUUUCAUCAGCUGGUCCAGAGACUGUUUGAACUGGCUUCCUAAGGUGGAGGGCCGUUUAUUUGAGUCUGCAGACUGUGAAUGGAAGCACAGAGCACAAGUGGGUCUCAGGAGCCAUGUCCUGGGACAGCUGACCCUGUAGGCCAGCAAGGGUUGCUGCCAAGGCCCCACAGGUGGGGUGGUGCAUCUACCUAUUCAAGAAUCCACCCACCCACCCAUCCAUGUAUCCAUCCACCCACUCACCCAUCCNNNNNNNNNNNNNNNNNNNNNNNNNNNNNNNNNNNNNNNNNNNNNNNNNNNNNNNNNNNNNNNNNNNNNNNNNNNNNNNNNNNNNNNNNNNNNNNNNNNNNNNNNNNNNNNNNNNNNNNNNNNNNNNNNNNNNNNNNNNNNNNNNNNNNNNNNNNNNNNNNNNNNNNNNNNNNNNNNNNNNNNN